UACAUAUCGAAAUGAACGGGUGUCUUUUUAAACAAGACUUAAUAGGGAAGUUGGUGAAAAUCCAACGCGGUCCCGCCACUGUAAAUGGGAGCAAGCUGCAACGGCCACUGUACAAAUGUAUGGGAAGGCGCAGCGAGCAUUGACCAUGAGCCAGGAGACCUGCCUGUCCAUUGCACCAACA
rnacentral:ncRNA from 2 species